AGCAGCCGCGGUAAUUCCAGCUCCAAUAGCGUAUAUUAAAGUUGCUGCAGUUAAAAAGCUCGUAGUUGAAUUUCGGGACUAAUAUGUCGGUCGUGCCUCGGUACGUACUGGCUUAUUGGUUUCUCCUUUCUGAAGAACUAUGAUGUCAUUUAUUUGGUGUCGUGGGGAAUCAGGACUGUUACUUUGAAAAAAUUAGAGUGUUUAAAGCAGGCUCACGCUUGAAUACAUUAGCAUGGAAUAAUGAAAUAGGACGUUUGAUUCUAUUUUGUUGGUUUCUAGGAUCGACGUAAUGAUUAAUAGGGAUAGUUGGGGGCAUUAGUAUUCAAUUGUCAGAGGUGAAAUUCUUGGAUUUAUUGAAGACUAACUACUGCGAAAGCAUUUGCCAAGGAUGUUUUCAUUAAUCAAGAACGAAAGUUAGGGGAUCGAAGACGAUCAGAUACCGUCGUAGUCUUAACCAUAAACUAUGCCGACUAGGGAUCGGAUGAUGUUAAUUUUUUAAUGACUCAUUCGGCGCCUUACG
rnacentral:rRNA from 1 species